rnacentral:rRNA from 1 species
GUCAUAAUGCUUGUCUCAAAGAUUAAGCCAUGCAAGUCUAAGUAUAAGCAAUUUAUAUAGUGAAACUGCGAACGGCUCAUUAAAUCAGUUAUCGUUUAUUUGAUAGUACCUUACUACAUGGAUAUCCGUGGUAAUUCUAGAGCUAAUACAUGCUUAAAGCCCCGACUUCGGAAGGGGUGUAUUUAUUAGAUUAAAAACCAAUGCCCUUCGGGGCUCUUUGGUGAUUCAUGAUAACUAAACGAAUCGCAUGGCCUUGCGCCGGCGAUGGUUCAUUCAAAUUUCUGCCCUAUCAACUUUCGAUGGUAGGAUAGUGGCCUACCAUGGUUUCGACGGGUAACGGGGAAUCAGGGUUCGAUUCCGGAGAGGGAGCCUGAGAAACGGCUACCACAUCCAAGGAAGGCAGCAGGCGCGUAAAUUACCCAAUGGGGACUUCCCGAGGUAGUGACAAUAAAUACUGCUGCGAGCGCCUUACGGUGCCCGCAAGUGGAAUGAGUACAAUUUAAAUCCCUUAACGAGGAACGAUUGGAGGGCAAGUCUGGUGCCAGCAGCCGCGGUAAUUCCAGCUCCAAUAGCGUAUAUUAAAGUUGUUGCAGUUAAAAAGCUCGUAGUUGAAUCUUGGGUCUGGCUGGCCGGUCCGCCUCACCGCGUGUACUGGUCCGGCCGGGCCUUUCCUUCUGGGGAACUGCAUGCCCUUUACUGGGUGUGUCGGGGAACCAGGACUUUUACUUUGAAAAAAUUAGAGUGUUCAAAGCAGGCAUAUGCUCGAAUACAUUAGCAUGGAAUAAUAGAAUAGGACGUGCGGUUCUAUUUUGUUGGUUUCUAGGACCGCCGUAAUGAUUAAUAGGGAUAGUCGGGGGCAUCGGUAUUCAAUUGUCAGAGGUGAAAUUCUUGGAUUUAUUGAAGACCAACUACUGCGAAAGCAUUUGCCAAGGAUGUUUUCAUUAAUCAGUGAACGAAAGUUAGGGGAUCGAAAACGAUCAGAUACCGUUGUAGUCUUAACCAUAAACUAUGCCGACUAGGAAUCGGACGGUGUUAUUUACUUGACCCGUUCGGCGCCUUACGAGAAAUCAAAGUGUUUGGGUUCUGGGGGGAGUAUGGUCGCAAGGCUGAAACUUAAAGAAAUUGACGGAAAGGCACCACAAUGGCGUGGAGCCUGCGGCUUAAUUUGACUCAACACGGGGAAACUCACCAGGUCCAGACACAAUAAGGAUUGACAGAUUGAGAGCUCUUUCUUGAUUUUGUGGGUGGUGGUGCAUGGCCGUUCUUAGUUGGUGGAGUGAUUUGUCUGCUUAAUUGCGAUAACGAACGAGACCUUAACCUGCUAAAUAGCCAGGUUGGCUUUGGCCGACCGCCGGCUUCUUAGAGGGACUAUCCGCUCAAGCGGGUGGAAGUUUGAGGCAAUAACAGGUCUGGGAUGCCCUUAGAUGUUCUGGGCCGCACGCGCGCUACACUGACAGGGCCAACGAGUUUUUUUCCUUGGCCGGAAGGUCUGGGUAAUCUUGUUAAACCCUGUCGUGCUGGGGAUAGAGCAUUGCAAUUAUUGCUCUUCAACGAGGAAUGCCUAGUAAGCGCAAGUCAUCAGCUUGCGUUGAAUACGUCCCUGCCCUUUGUACACACCGCCCGUCGCUACUACCGAUUGAACGGCUCAGUGAGGCCUUCGGACUGGCCCAGGGAGGUCGGCAACGACCACCCAGGGCCGGAAAGUUCGUCAAACUUGGUCGUUUAGAGGAAGUAAAAGUCGUAACAAGGUUGCUGUAGGUGAACCUUCAGCAGGAUCAUUAUAAGAAGUUUUAGUACCGUCCCCCUUAAACGGGGGCUCUCACCUUCUUAACCCCUUGUAUACCUAGUAUCGAAGUUGCCUCGGCGCUUUGGGAGAUAAUCUUUCCCACGCCGAUGGACAUCAACCGAACUUUUAAAUGAAUUUUGUAUCAAGUCUUUAAAACAGCAAAAAACAAAACUUUCAACGAUGGAUCUCUUGGUUCCGGCAUCGAUGAAGAACGCAGCGAAAUGCGAUAAGUAAUGCGAAUUGCAGAAUUCCGUGAGUCAUCGAAUCUUUGAACGCAUAUUGCGCCCUCUGGUAUUCCGGAGGGCAUGCCUGUUCGAGCGUCAGUACAACCAAAACAAGCUCCGCUUGGUAUUGGACCCUCAAUUCGCGAGAAAAAACUUUUGUUCUUUUUCGCGGGUCUGAAAGGUAGUGGCGGCCCCCGUUUGGCUUCAAGCGCAGUUGGAAAAUUACAAAUCUUUCUCGCUUUGGAGGACUGAAUGGGGUGAAUUUCUGCCUUAAAAUUAUAUUCAAGGUGGACCUCGGAUCAGGUAGGAAUACCCGCUGAACUUAAGCAUAUCAAUAAGCGGAGGAAAAGAAACCAACAGGGAUUGCCUUAGUAACGGCGAGUGAAGCGGCAACAGCUCAAAUUUGAAAUCUGGGCCUCAUUCGGGGCCCCGAAUUGUAAUUUGUAGAGGAUGCUUCGGGCGAGGUGCCGACCUAAGUCCCCUGGAACGGGGCGUCAUAGAGGGUGAGAAUCCCGUCUAUGGCCGGCGUCCAAGCCCAUGUGAAGCUCCUUCGACGAGUCGAGUUGUUUGGGAAUGCAGCUCAAAAUGGGUGGUAAAUUUCAUCUAAAGCUAAAUACCGGCCGGAGACCGAUAGCGCACAAGUAGAGUGAUCGAAAGAUGAAAAGCACUUUGGAAAGAGAGUCAAAUAGCACGUGAAAUCGUUGAAAGGGAAGCGCUUGCACCCAGACUUGCCCGUCGGCGCUCAACCGGGGUUCUCCCCGGCGCAUUCGACGACGGACAGGCCAGCAUCGGCGGGGAUGGUCGGAUAAAGGCUUGCGGAAUGUGGCUCCUCUCGGGGAGUGUUAUAGCCGCAGGUGUCAUACGACCCGUCUCCGCCGAGGAACGCGCUUCGGCGAGGAUGCUGGCGUAAUGGUUGUAAGCGGCCCGUCUUGAAACACGGACCAAGGAGUCUAACAUCUAUGCAAGUGUUCGGGUGGAAAACCCGUGCGCGUAAUGAAAGUGAACGGAGGUGGGAACUCCCUCGUGGAGUGCACCAUCGACCGAUCCUGAUGUCUUCGGAUGGAUUUGAGUAAGAGCAUGGCUGUUGGGACCCGAAAGAUGGUGAACUAUGCCUGAAUAGGGUGAAGCCAGAGGAAACUCUGGUGGAGGCUCGCAGCGGUUCUGACGUGCAAAUCGAUCGUCAAAUUUGGGUAUAGGGGCGAAAGACUAAUCGAACCAUCUAGUAGCUGGUUCCUGC